GUUGCUGAGAUGUGAGAGGAGUUGCAGGCUUAGGUGGAUAAACUAUCUCAGGCCUAAUAUGAAGAGAGGAAACUUUACUGAUAAAGAAGAUGAACUCAUCAUCAACCUCCACAGCUUCUUUGGAAACAAGAUUUAGAGCAGCUGCUGAAUUUCAUUGGUGUAAAGAGUUUAGGGCCACGCCAUGUAUUGGCUAAUUUGAAGGAGCUUCUAAGGAUCAUUCUAUCUCCAGGAUUUAUUGAUACAUAAUCUGACAUCCUGACUGUAAGUUAGAAACCUUUUUGUGUAAAUGGAUCAUCUGGUUUCAUAUACAGGUGCAAAUUUUCAAUGGAGCACCUUGCCAUGAAGGCUUGUUAGUUACCACAUUUUAAAAAAAUGCCAAUUAUUUGUAACUUGAUUUCUUUUCUUGAAGAAUAUAUAUUUUUUUA